rfam:Felis catus isolate Cinnamon breed Abyssinian chromosome X, whole genome shotgun sequence.
GCCUGGGUGGCUCAGUCGGUUGAGCGUCCGACUUCAGCUCAGGUCAUGAUUUCAUGGUUUGUGGGUUCCAGCCCCGCGUCGGGCU